rnacentral:rRNA from 1 species
UACGUAGGGUGCAAGCGUUAAUCGGAAUUACUGGGCGUAAAGCGUGCGCAGGCGGUGGCUUGUGUCAGGUGUGAAAGCCCCGGGCUUAACCUGGGAAUUGCGCUUGAAACUAGGUCGCUAGAGUGCGUCAGAGGGGGGUGGGAAUUCCACGUGUAGCAGUGAAAUGCGUAGAGAUGCGGAGGAACACCGAUGGCGAAGGCAGCCCCCCUGGGCUAACACUGACGCCUCAGGCACGAAAGCGUGGGGAGCAAACAGG